rnacentral:tRNA from 1 species
GCCACCUUAGCUCAGUUGGCAGAGCACGUGACUUGUAAUCUCGGGGUCUUCGGUUCAAAUCCGAAAGGUGGCU